rnacentral:rRNA from 1 species
UUACUGCUAUCGGGAUGAGACUAAGCCAUGCAUGUCGAGCGCUCUUCAGCUAUGUAGAGAGCGCGGCGAACGGCUCAAUAACACGUAGUUAACCUACCCUCGGGAUGGGAAUAACCCCGGGAAACUGGGAUUAAUGCCCACUAGAUGAUUAUACCUGGAAUGGCUUAUCAUCGAAAGAGUCUGGAAACAUGCUUCCAGCGUCGCCCGAGGAUGGGACCGCGUCCGAUCAGGUAGUUGGUGGGGUAAUGGCCUACCAAGCCUAUAACCGGUACGGGCCCUGAGAGGGGGAGCCCGGAGAUGGAAACUGAGAAAAGGUUCCAGGCCCUACGGGGUGCAGCAGGCGCGAAACCUCCACAAUGCGCGAAAGCGUGAUGGGGUUAUCCCGAGUGCCGUCCGAUGAGGAUGGCUUUUUAUCGAUGUAAGGAUUCGAUAGAAUAAAGGGGGGGCAAGACUGGUGUCAGCCGCCGCGGUAAUACCAGCCCCCUGAGUGGUAAGGACGAUUAUUUGGCCUAAAGCGUUCGUAGCCGGCUUAUCAAGUCUUUUGUUAAAUCUAACGAUUCAAUCGUUGGGCUGCAAAAGAUACUGUUAUGCUAGAGGACGGGAGAGGUCGACGGUAGUCCAGGGGUAGGGGUGAAAUCCUAUAAUCCUUGGAGGACCACCAGUGGCGAAGGCGGUCGACUAGAACGUGCCUGACGGUGAGGGACGAAAGCUGGGGGAGCGAACCGGAUUAGAUACCCGGGUAGUCCCAGCUGUAAACGAUGCGGGCUAGGUGUUGGGGCAGCCACGAGCUGUUCCAGUGCCGCAGAGAAGUUGUUAAGCCCGCCGCCUGGGGAGUACGGCCGCAAGGCUGAAACUUAAAGGAAUUGGCGGGGGAGCACCACAAGGGGUGAAGGCUGCGGUUUAAUUGGAGUCAACGCCGGG